rnacentral:rRNA from 1 species
GUGCGAACGUUGUUCGGAUUCACUGGGCUUAAAGGGCGCGUAGGCGGUCGACCAAGUCUGGGGUGAAAUCUUUCGGCUUAACCGGAAAAGUGCCCCCGAUACUGGCCGGCUAGAGGGAGAUAGGGGCAUGUGGAACUUCCGGUGGAGCGGUGAAAUGCGUAGAUAUUGGGAAGAACACCGGUGGCGAAGGCGGCUAUCUGGCCCGUAAUUGACGCUGAGGCGCGAAAGCGUGGGGAGCAAACAGG